CCGUCAUAAUGAUUGUAAAGCAGCUUGGCCUUUAUCAGAUUGUGAGUCCAGAGGUCCACACUGGACUCCCCUUUCUAUGCAAUACGUAGGUCACCACACUAUAGAUGCCGUCUAUGUGCAGGCCCCUGCUCUCCGAAAUAUAUUUAAUAAUGGCUUACGAGCUCACAUUUUAACUUUUCUCUCUUUCCUUGGAUCAUGCAAGAAUUUCCUUCAUUAAUCACGAAGAUAUAGUUGUCUUUAACUUGAUGAAAUUUGAAAAGUACUAACUUUCAAUUUAUGCGUUCGAUUGGCUUGUAUGAAGUUACUAAAUGCAAGCAUCAGAACCCUUUGUUUUAGUAGCUAUAGAAAUAUUUCAAAUUUAAAUAAUUAUAUAUAGUGCUAAAUUUACGUGUCAUUAUAAGAUUUUUUUAGCUACCCAGUACAGAAAUGAUAAGGGGACACUAACUGGCAACGCCAGAUAGCUGCGAGCGAUAUGCUGUUCUGCCAGUUCUGGAAAAAGCCAGUUGAUGUUUCAUCGUCGGGGAGAAGAGAGAGUUACACUUAGUCUGCUAACGUACACCCUGUUUUGGGCUGAAAUAGCGACAUUCGGUAUCGUGGCUAUAGUUGGGGUCUCCAUAUCUGCCAUGUUUAUGGGAUACGAGGUCUUAAUCAACGUCUGCAUCGGGGGCGUGAAAGUGACUAUCACGCUAGUCAAACGCAUUUCCAAGAAAAUGGGAUAAGCUACGAACCUCAUCCAGAUUCUACCAGGAUCCAACGUUUGCUCUUUCUGGGAGAUUAACUAGAUUUAAAUAAUUCAGGGAUCCUGAGAGAUAUCUCCUUAAUGUUUUCAUUUCAGAAUACGUUCUUGACUUUUGUUUUUGUAUUAUUUUUUUUAUUUGAUUGACAGCUGUUGCUGCAUUUUUAAAAAAAAAUUUUUAUAUGUUAAUCCCAAUUAAUUACCUUGUUAUUGAAAGUUGUCAGUACAAUGCAUGUAGGUAAUCAUCUCUCUUUUGAAUUCAUGUUGACUGAAGAUCAAUAUGAUUCCAAAGGAGCUUCAAAACAUUUUGCUCUUUCUUUAUAACAUGUAGCCCAAAAUACAUGAUGUAUUACA